CACACUAUCAUUAACUGAAUCCAUAGGUUAAUGAGGCGAACCGGGGGAACUGAAACAUCUAAGUACCCCGAGGAAAAGAAAUCAACCGAGAUUCCCCCAGUAGCGGCGAGCGAACGGGGAGCAGCCCAGAGCCUGAAUCAGUGUGUGUGUUAGUGGAAGCGUCUGGAAAGGCGCGCGAUACAGGGUGACAGCCCCGUACACAAAAAUGCACAUGCUGUGAGCUCGAUGAGUAGGGCGGGACACGUGGUAUCCUGUCUGAAUAUGGGGGGACCAUCCUCCAAGGCUAAAUACUCCUGACUGACCGAUAGUGAACCAGUACCGUGAGGGAAAGGCGAAAAGAACCCCGGCGAGGGGAGUGAAAAAGAACCUGAAACCGUGUACGUACAAGCAGUGGGAGCACGCUUAGGCGUGUGACUGCGUACCUUUUGUAUAAUGGGUCAGCGACUUAUAUUCUGUAGCAAGGUUAACCGAAUAGGGGAGCCGAAGGGAAACCGAGUCUUAACUGGGCGUUAAGUUGCAGGGUAUAGACCCGAAACCCGGUGAUCUAGCCAUGGGCAGGUUGAAGGUUGGGUAACACUAACUGGAGGACCGAACCGACUAAUGUUGAAAAAUUAGCGGAUGACUUGUGGCUGGGGGUGAAAGGCCAAUCAAACCGGGAGAUAGCUGGUUCUCCCCGAAAGCUAUUUAGGUAGCGCCUCGUGAAUUCAUCUCCGGGGGUAGAGCACUGUUUCGGCAAGGGGGUCAUCCCGACUUACCAACCCGAUGCAAACUGCGAAUACCGGAGAAUGUUAUCACGGGAGACACACGGCGGGUGCUAACGUCCGUCGUGAAGAGGGAAACAACCCAGACCGCCAGCUAAGGUCCCAAAGUCAUGGUUAAGUGGGAAACGAUGUGGGAAGGCCCAGACAGCCAGGAUGUUGGCUUAGAAGCAGCCAUCAUUUAAAGAAAGCGUAAUAGCUCACUGGUCGAGUCGGCCUGCGCGGAAGAUGUAACGGGGCUAAACCAUGCACCGAAGCUGCGGCAGCGACGCUUAUGCGUUGUUGGGUAGGGGAGCGUUCUGUAAGCCUGUGAAGGUGUACUGUGAGGUAUGCUGGAGGUAUCAGAAGUGCGAAUGCUGACAUAAGUAACGAUAAAGCGGGUGAAAAGCCCGCUCGCCGGAAGACCAAGGGUUCCUGUCCAACGUUAAUCGGGGCAGGGUGAGUCGACCCCUAAGGCGAGGCCGAAAGGCGUAGUCGAUGGGAAACAGGUUAAUAUUCCUGUACUUGGUGUUACUGCGAAGGGGGGACGGAGAAGGCUAUGUUGGCCGGGCGACGGUUGUCCCGGUUUAAGCGUGUAGGCUGGUUUUCCAGGCAAAUCCGGAAAAUCAAGGCUGAGGCGUGAUGACGAGGCACUACGGUGCUGAAGCAACAAAUGCCCUGCUUCCAGGAAAAGCCUCUAAGCAUCAGGUAACAUCAAAUCGUACCCCAAACCGACACAGGUGGUCAGGUAGAGAAUACCAAGGCGCUUGAGAGAACUCGGGUGAAGGAACUAGGCAAAAUGGUGCCGUAACUUCGGGAGAAGGCACGCUGAUAUGUAGGUGAAGUCCCUCGCGGAUGGAGCUGAAAUCAGUCGAAGAUACCAGCUGGCUGCAACUGUUUAUUAAAAACACAGCACUGUGCAAACACGAAAGUGGACGUAUACGGUGUGACGCCUGCCCGGUGCCGGAAGGUUAAUUGAUGGGGUUAGCGCAAGCGAAGCUCUUGAUCGAAGCCCCGGUAAACGGCGGCCGUAACUAUAACGGUCCUAAGGUAGCGAAAUUCCUUGUCGGGUAAGUUCCGACCUGCACGAAUGGCGUAAUGAUGGCCAGGCUGUCUCCACCCGAGACUCAGUGAAAUUGAACUCGCUGUGAAGAUGCAGUGUACCCGCGGCAAGACGGAAAGACCCCGUGAACCUUUACUAUAGCUUGACACUGAACAUUGAGCCUUGAUGUGUAGGAUAGGUGGGAGGCUUUGAAGUGUGGACGCCAGUCUGCAUGGAGCCGACCUUGAAAUACCACCCUUUAAUGUUUGAUGUUCUAACGUUGACCCGUAAUCCGGGUUGCGGACAGUGUCUGGUGGGUAGUUUGACUGGGGCGGUCUCCUCCUAAAGAGUAACGGAGGAGCACGAAGGUUGGCUAAUCCUGGUCGGACAUCAGGAGGUUAGUGCAAUGGCAUAAGCCAGCUUGACUGCGAGCGUGACGGCGCGAGCAGGUGCGAAAGCAGGUCAUAGUGAUCCGGUGGUUCUGAAUGGAAGGGCCAUCGCUCAACGGAUAAAAGGUACUCCGGGGAUAACAGGCUGAUACCGCCCAAGAGUUCAUAUCGACGGCGGUGUUUGGCACCUCGAUGUCGGCUCAUCACAUCCUGGGGCUGAAGUAGGUCCCAAGGGUAUGGCUGUUCGCCAUUUAAAGUGGUACGCGAGCUGGGUUUAGAACGUCGUGAGACAGUUCGGUCCCUAUCUGCCGUGGGCGCUGGAGAAUUGAGGGGGGCUGCUCCUAGUACGAGAGGACCGGAGUGGACGCAUCACUGGUGUUCGGGUUGUCAUGCCAAUGGCACUGCCCGGUAGCUAAAUGCGGAAGAGAUAAGUGCUGAAAGCAUCUAAGCACGAAACUUGCCCCGAGAUGAGUUCUCCCUGACUCCUUGAGAGUCCUGAAGGAACGUUGAAGACGACGACGUUGAUAGGCCGGGUGUGUAAGCGCAGCGAUGCGUUGAGCUAACCGGUACUAAUGAACCGUGAGGCUUAACCUUACAACGCCGAAG
rnacentral:rRNA from 1 species